UGGCAAUACAUCGUCAGCGACUGAGCAAAAGCAUUAAGUGAUCCACCUGGGGAGUACGACCGCAAGGUUGAAACUCAAAGGAAUUGACGGGGGCCCGCACAAGCGGAGGAACAUGUGGUUUAAUUCGAUGAUACGCGAGGAACCUUACCUGGGCUUAAAUGUAGAACGACGGACCGGGAAACUGGUCUUUCUUCGGACGGUCUGCAAGGUGCUGCAUGGCUGUCGUCAGCUCGUGCCGUGAGGUGUCGGGUUAAGUCCCAUAACGAGCGCAACCCUCAUCAUUAGUUGCCAGCGGGUAAUGCCGGGGACUCUAAUGAAACUGCCGGUGUAAACCGAGAGGAAGGUGGGGAUGACGUCAAGUCAGCACGGCCCUUAUGUCCAGGGCUACACACGUGUUACAAUGGUCGGUACAAAGGGCAGCUACCUGGUAACAGGAUGCUAAUCUCCAAAACCGAUCUCAGUUCGGAUCGAAGUCUGCAACUCGACUUCGUGAAGCUGGAUUCGCUAGUAAUCGCGCAUCAGCCAUGGCGCGGUGAAUACGUUCCCGGGCCUUGUACACACCGCCCGUCAAGCCAUGGAAGCUGGGGGUACCUGAAGUCCGUAACCGCAAGAGCGGC
rnacentral:rRNA from 1 species